rnacentral:rRNA from 1 species
CCUACGGUGCGCAGCAGUCGAGAAUCAUUCACAAUGGGGGAAACCCUGAUGGUGCGACGCCGCGUGGGGGAAUGAAGGUCUUCGGAUUGUAAACCCCUGUCAUGUGGGAGCAAAUUAAAAAGAUAGUACCACAAGAGGAAGAGACGGCUAACUCUGUGCCAGCAGCCGCGGUAAUACAGAGGUCUCAAGCGUUGUUCGGAAUCACUGGGCGUAAAGCGUGCGUAGGCUGUUUCGUAAGUCGUGUGUGAAAGGCGCGGGCUCAACCCGCGGACGGCACAUGAUACUGCGAGACUAGAGUAAUGGAGGGGGAAUCGGAAUUCUCGGUGUAGCAGUGAAAUGCGUAGAUAUCGAGAGGAACACUCGUGGCGAAGGCGGGUUCCUGGACAUUAACUGACGCUGAGGCACGAAGGCCAGGGGAGCGAAAGGGAUUAGAUACCCCGGUAGUC